GCAUGUACGGUGACCCUAGUGACAUUGGAGCUGGAGUCUGCCUGCUGAUCAUCAUCCAGCUCUUUGUGGCUGGCCUCAUUGUGUUGCUA